CGUCGACCGGCGCACGGGUGAGUAACGCGUAUCCAACCUGCCCAUCACUUGGGGAUAACCUUGCGAAAGUAAGACUAAUACCCAAUGACGUCUCUAGAAGACAUCUGAAAGAGAUUAAAGAUUUAUCGGUGAUGGAUGGGGAUGCGUCUGAUUAGCUUGUUGGCGGGGUAACGGCCCACCAAGGCGACGAUCAGUAGGGGUUCUGAGAGGAAGGUCCCCCACAUUGGAACUGAGACACGGUCCAAACUCCUACGGGAGGCAGCAGUGAGGAAUAUUGGUCAAUGGACGAGAGUCUGAACCAGCCAAGUAGCGUGCAGGAUGACGGCCCUAUGGGUUGUAAACUGCUUUUAUAAGGGAAUAAAGUGAGCCUCGUGAGGCUUUUUGCAUGUACCUUAUGAAUAAGGACCGGCUAAUUCCGUGCCAGCAGCCGCGGUAAUACGGAAGGUCCGGGCGUUAUCCGGAUUUAUUGGGUUUAAAGGGAGCGUAGGCCGGAGAUUAAGCGUGUUGUGAAAUGUAGAUGCUCAACAUCUGCACUGCAGCGCGAACUGGUUUCCUUGAGUACGCACAAAGUGGGCGGAAUUCGUGGUGUAGCGGUGAAAUGCUUAGAUAUCACGAAGAACUCCGAUUGCGAAGGCAGCUCACUGGAGCGCAACUGACGCUGAAGCUCGAAAGUGCGGGUAUCGAACAGGAUUAGAUACCCUGGUAGUCCGCACGGUAAACGAUGGAUGCCCGCUGUUGGUCUGAAUAGGUCAGCGGCC
rnacentral:rRNA from 1 species